UACGGAGGGCGCAAGCGUUGUUCGGACUCACUGGGCGUAAAGGGCGUGUCGGCGGCUUGGCAAGUCGGGUGUGAAGGCCCGGGGCCUAACCCCGGAACUGCAUUCGAAACUGCCUCGCUCGAGUCCCGGAGAGGAUGGUGGAAUUCCCGGUGUAGUGGUGAAAUACGUAGAUAUCGGGAGGAACACCAGCGGCGAAGGCGGCCAUCUGGACGGUGACUGACGCUGAGACGCGAAAGCGUGGGGAGCAAACAGG
rnacentral:rRNA from 1 species